rnacentral:rRNA from 1 species
GACGAACGCUGGCGGCGUGCUUAACACAUGCAAGUCGAACGGAAAGGCCCUGCUUUUGUGGGGUGCUCGAGUGGCGAACGGGUGAGUAACACGUGAGUAACCUGCCCUUGACUUUGGGGUAACUUCAGGAAACUGGGGCUAAUACCGGAUAGGAGCUCCUGCUGCAUGGUGGGGGUUGGAAAGUUUCGGCGGUUGGGGAUGGACUCGCGGCUUAUCAGCUUGUUGGUGGGGUAGUGGCUUACCAAGGCUUUGACGGGUCGCCGGCCUGAGAGGGUGACCGGCCCCAAUGGGACUGAGAGACGGACCAGACUCCUACGGGAGGCAGCAGUGGGGAAUAUUGCACAAUGGGCGGAAGCCUGAUGCAGCAACGCCGGGUGUGGGAUGACGGCCUUGGGGUUGUAAACAGCUUUGGCCUGUGACGAAGCGUGAGUGACGGUAAUGGGUAAAGAAGCACCGGCUAACUACGUG